rnacentral:misc_RNA from 1 species
GUGAAUCAUCAAAUUUUUGAACGCAAAUUGCGCUUCCUGUCAUCCAGGGAAGUAUGCCUGUUUGAGGGUCAGUAUUAACAAAAAAUCGUUUUGGUUGCAAAUUGUGACGUUUCCGGAGUUUGCGCUAUCUUAACUUUUUUGUUUAAGGGUCUUAAAAUUGACCUUAUUUGCGCAUUUUUAUGCGUACAUAAAUUUUUUUUUUUUUUCGUAUAUUAAUAAUGCUAAUAUCUUAUU